GAUGAACGCUAGCGGCAGGCUUAAUACAUGCAAGUCGUGGGGCAGCAGGGUUGUAGCAAUACAAUCGCUGGCGACCGGCAAACGGGUGCGUAACACGUACGCAACCUUCCCGUUACUGUGGCAUAGCCCAGGGAAACUUGGAUUAAUACCACAUAUUAUAUUGAGGGGGCAUCCCUUUGAUAUCAAAGCUUCGGCGGUAACGGAUGGGCGUGCGGUUGAUUAGGUAGUUGGCGGGGUAACGGCCCACCAAGCCUACGAUCAAUAGCUGAUGUGAGAGCAUGAUCAGCCACACGGGCACUGAGACACGGGCCCGACUCCUACGGGAGGCAGCAGUAAGGAAUAUUGGGCAAUGGACGAAAGUCUGACCCAGCCAUGCCGCGUGAAGGAUUAAGGUCCUCUGGAUUGUAAACUUCUUUUCUCUGGGGCGAAAACCAGCUAUUCUUAGCUAUUUGACAGUACCAGAGGAAUAAGCACCGGCUAACUCCGUGCCAGCCGCCGCGGUAAAAC
rnacentral:rRNA from 1 species